AUACGUAGGGGGCGAGCGUUGUCCGGAAUGAUUGGGCGUAAAGGGCGCGUAGGCGGCGCGGUAAGUCUGGAGUGAAAGUCCUGCUUUCAAGGUGGGAAUUGCUUUGGAUACUGCCGCGCUUGAGUGCAGGAGAGGUUAUCGGAAUUCCCGGUGUAGCGGUGAAAUGCGUAGAGAUCGGGAGGAACACCAGUGGCGAAGGCGGGUAACUGGACUGCAACUGACGCUGAGGCGCGAAAGUGUGGGGAGCAAACAGGAUUAGAUACCCUGGUAGUCCACACUGUAAACGAUGAAUGCUGGGUGUAGGGGGUAUCGACCCCUUCUGUGCCGCAGUCAACACAAUAAGCAUUCCGCCUGGGGAGUACGGCCGCAAGGUUGAAACUCAAAUGAAUUGACGGGG
rnacentral:rRNA from 1 species